rnacentral:misc_RNA from 1 species
GAUGAAGAACGUAGCGAAAUGCGAUAAGUAAUGUGAAUUGCAGAAUUCAGUGAAUCAUCGAAUCUUUGAACGCACAUUGCGCCCCUUGGUAUUCCGAGGGGCAUGCCUAUUCGAGCGUCAUUAUCACCCCUCAAGCCUAGCUUGGUGUUGAGGCCUGCUGUCAAGGCAGCCUCUAAAAUCAGUGGCAGUGCUGUCAGGCUCUAAGCGUAGUAAAUCUAAUCGCUAUAGACACCUGGUGGACACUCGCCAGAACCCCCCCAUUUUUUAAUGAUUGACCUCGGAUUAGGUAGGGAUACCCGCUGAACUUAAGCAUAUCAAUAAGCGGAGGA